rnacentral:rRNA from 1 species
UACGGAGGGGGCUAGCGUUGUUCGGAAUUACUGGGCGUAAAGCGCGCGUAGGCGGAACUGCAAGUCGGGUGUGAAAUCUCGGAGCUUAACUCCGAAACUGCAUUCGAUACUGCCGUGCUUGAGGACUGGAGAGGAGACUGGAAUUUACGGUGUAGCGGUGAAAUGCGUAGAUAUCGUAAGGAAGACCAGUGGCGAAGGCGGGUCUCUGGACAGUUCCUGACGCUGAGGCACGAAGGUCAGGGGAGCAAACGGG